UAGUGGUCCAAAUAUGGAAUGCCAAAUGCAUCAAAAUGUAAUGGGAACCGAAUAAAAAACCAACCGUUUUGGUCACUUUGGAUCAUUGGAGGUUUUCUUUGCAUUUAGUUGAAUGUUCCUCAACCAUUUCCCAACGAUACGUGCAAGACCGAACAUCUGACAAUACUUCGUUAUAAUUGCUUUUUAAUUAUGCACGAAAAGUAAGGGCCCUAUACAAAAGCACUCAAAGCUCUUGAAGACACACUAAUUGAAUUCAAUAAUGUAAUACGCCAUUUUCCUUGGAGGCUUCCGACAAAAGACAUUUCGCCACGCUGAUGGUGUACUUUGGAUUCUGUAGUUGGUUUUUGAACCAUUUUUCCCCUCGAUGGGAAUCCCAUUGACCUCUCGCAGAUUGCGUUCCUCCGAAAUUGGUCAUGGGCCGUUGGAGAGGGAGCCAUAUGUGUUUCGAGCGCUCUGGGACUACGUCAUCAUCGAAGCACUGUACGGCCAAAAACAAGGCAAAACCGGUACCAGUGUAGCGUUCUUGAGCCAUCGAGCCACGUGCUGCUCCUAAACUGAUGCCGCCAAAAACGUAUGAAAAACAAAAAGGUAAGUUUGAACUGGUUUUUGGACUGGACUCCGAUUUUACGAAGCCAGUAGAGAGGAAUCAAUCUAAAGCUAUGCCUAUUCUGAGCCAUUCGUUCUGAAGUAAAUCAAACUCUGGAGUCCAACAUAUAUAAAUUGGAUUUAACGCCAAGGCCACAUGGGGUGUUCUUCAAAAAAUCUGAUCUAGCCAUUGCGCAAUAUGUGCAGAUACACAUUUCUUGAUUCAAGUCGAAAGCUACUAUGAAAAUAUCAUCUGUCAGCAUUAAUUCAUAAGCUAAGAAACUGAGCCAAAAGAGCCUAAUUGCCGCAAACAAUGUAUAUUCUACUGGUUAUGUAUGUACCAUAGUAUUGUUUUUUUUGCAUUUUAAUUCCCCUAUACGAAUUGCGUGAGCGAGGUUUAUCUGUUGUUCAAUUUUAGAUGGCAAACACGUCAUGGCAGCUUUUGCUCAGACCUUGGGGACUGCGGCGCUUUUGUUGGGUUCAUCUAUUAACAGCUAUAUAAGAGCCAUUUAUUUUGCAGAUUAGAUAUGUAAUUAAAUAUUGAAAUGGGGCUAUAUAGGGAAUAAAUAAUGUACGUGAUGUAGAUCUAGACGCGGAAAGAUUGAAAACAAAAACAAGUUUUACUGCACAGCUUCCGAAUGAUGAUUUUCUGAUCACGUGAAAUUCCCGCCUCCCUUUGUCUUGAAUCUGCGCUUCGAAAGCGUUUUUCUCAAAAGCAACCACAUAAGCUUUUCCAGAUGCCUGGAAAACACAGAUCCCAGAUUAAUACCAAAACAACAAUACUCCGUGGUGGUCGAGGGAAGUGGUUAAAGAAGCUCCCGCCGUCCCAGCUCCCUUAUUAGACGUGGUAAGUCUUGUAAGUCAUAACCGCGGUUGCGGCAAACACACCAUCUAACUGUACUUCCAUGGUACUCCCGUGGCCGAGAGCGGGAUCAGUGGAGCAGAGAAACGCAGCAUGCCGCGUCGGCACGCCGCGAUUCAUUGCCAGGGCUCCAUUAGCACCUCACUGACAGGCGGAGAGGCUCGGGUUACGCACAUCGCAGACGACAGGGAAACGCAGAUGGACUUGGAUGCAAUGCAUAAGUGAAUGCCUGAUGCGGCCUAGAUGCCGCGUCGCGUGCUGCACUCAUUACAUACAUACAUAUGUACAUAUCGCAGCGCUAGAACUUGGCCAUCGAUUCCGGGCCGGCCUUCGUGGCUUGUGAGCACCAUCUUCGAGUGUUUAUUGAGCGCUUGGCAGUAAGUUUUGACAGUCCAUCAAUUAUAGUCGAACAUUGCUCAUACGCCCAGUGGUGACGUGAUGCCUUCAAUUUGAUGGACACAAGUGCUAUUAACAAAACCCUAGUCUUCCCAAUGUCCCUCGUCUUUUGAGCCGCGUGUUUCAGCCUUCAAAGAAUUUGUAGUGAACUUAGUUGGAAGUUUCCAUAUUUGUCACUUGCAAGGGUCGCCGCAAACUCAUUUUGUCCCAAACGCUCAUUUGUUAUUUGAUCCUUUUGCGUCAACCUCCAACGGGCUUCCCCGUUACAGACGGUAAUUAACUGGCAAUUUGAACUUUGACCCUUCCGACCAUCGUUAUGUUUACUCUAGAAAAUAAGGCCUUUCCUCCCUUCUUUAGUACCAGUAUUCUUUUGUUUCAGUUCUGUGUGUCUCAACAUUUUACCCGACCGCUUAAUAUAUUCAAUUUGUACGCUACUCUGUUCGACUAAUUUGAAAGGGGGCUCUGCCCCAAAUACCCCGCAAUUUGUUAUGAUAAAAGAAUGUUUCCAUUUGCAGCAAAUUUAAGCUCGUGCGAUACUCAGUGUCACUUUCAAUUUCUAGCAAUUUAUAGUAGUUCGCGUUCGCAGUUAGUCUAAUGUGCGUCUCUGUUUUCUGUUCUGGUUUGUUCACUGCGCUUCCGUCGAUGAGGUCAGCAGUUACUAAUCCAUGUUAUGCCUAAAGUUGGCCUGUAUAUAAACUCACUCCCAAACGGUUUUCUUCUACUCACAUUGGAAAAUGCAAUGUAUAGCUUAUGCUAUUAUCUGCUCUGCUGAUCAAAAAUCACUUCUAACGUCCACAGUUGCAAAAGAAUGCAAAUGGAAUGCUGACCCAAACGAAGUAAAAGCAAUUUGUUAUACCAUUUUGUUAAACAAUGAAAGCACGACAAUGUAGAGCACGAGUAGCACAAACAUGAAAGCAAUGGAAGUGGCAGUGUCAUGCCGACUUCGACCAUGAAUGCACUGCAGGUGAUGCUCCUGUUCAGAAGGCACUACAGUGGAAUCCUUCGACCGCACCUGUUUUAAUUGGCGAAUUCCAAUUAUCAUUCCACUCCCAGUUCCUUCCUGCAGCGGCAGAAUUCCAGCGCGGGUAAUUAUAUAAUUCAGUUCGGGUGAAGUCACUGCAUUUCUAAUUAAGGUUUGCCAGCCAUCAUCGCCGAUGAUCUGCGAGAUGCGAGAUACUAGAGCCUGGGUAGCGGGAGCAAAAAAUGUGUGUCAGACACUUGACAUUAAACAUUAAAUGAAAUGAAAUUGCCGACGCUCCAUGUUUGGCAUCUAUUGCUGAUGACAUCGUUUGACAACGUUCCAUGUAUGCGAGCGAGCACCUAAUGACCUGUAACUGCUCCUCCACUGGAAAGCCGUGCUUCUGCACUGCGUGGGUGAAGUGGGUCGUUGUUGUUCUUGCGGUCGAAGUCGUGCGUCGGAGGGUGUACUGUACGGUGAUACGGGGCGUUAAACGCGAUAAGCGGUGUUCCCCAUGCUCGCACUGACAACCUUCUCCACAAAGUGAAGAAUCCACGCACUCUAGUUGUUUCCAGUAGGUCAGAGCCGAGAAAAAUGGAAAGCACUUAAGCCAUUGUCUUUAUUGAGACGUAGAGCCGCACUCACGUAACCAACUGCAAGGCAAAAGAGUGUCUGAAUUCUCCUUUUUAGAGAACCAGCAAAAACUGUAUUCACUAAUUCGAAUUAUUUUUGCACGAAAAAUAAAUAAAUGCAAAUGGCAAUAAAUGAAAGCAAUAAAGCUUGUAGCGACGGAUGAGCUGAAAACGCGCACGAAUAAACAAACCCCGAAUGGCAGACGCACUAAAAAUACAAAUUUUACCCAACAAUAUACUACAAAAAAUAUAAAUAAAAAACUGGAACUAAGUAGUGAGGAGAAAGAAGUGAGAGGCAGGCUCGCCAAUUCUCAGACAAGGUAAAUAAAGCAAACGACCCCCGGAGCCACGAAAACCCAGGCUGAUCUCACAGCUCGGAUAAGUGUCCCACAGAAAGAGGAAAGCGUUUGUCUACGGUGUAAAGCUUGAAGUCGUCAUCCCACACCGAAAAAAAAAUGUAAUGAUUGUUUUAUGUAACUUGUUUGGUAACCAGAAAAGUGCAAAUUAUUUACACAUAUAUGUUAAGAGUACUGGUGCUGCUCCCCCGAACUGAAACUGCAUUUUGUAAAAUAUCGUGGCCUUUUGGCCAUCAUUCUUUUCUCUGCAUGUUCUGGCAGUAGUAACCGUCGACGGAGACGUCGCCACUGCUUGUAGUUCAAGGUGCACUGGUGAGUUGUUGAGAGGCCGACAGGCAUGCGGGUGCAGUGGAGACUGGCUGGCACAAACGACGCUCAGGGGCCAGCAGCAGGGUUUAUGCUCCCGAGGGCGCACUGCUUACCAAUUUCCACUGUCCGCCAAGUACAGGCACCAAGUCAUUCUGUAUGUGCACUGUAAAUUGACAAUGAUUGCCCACAAUUUGCUCGACACAAAACGCCACAGAAACGAACAAGAAAGGCUGGGAAAGCUGAGCGGAGAUGCAAAUACAGAACUGUAAACGGCGAACUGCGCUGCGAGCAGAUACAGAUAUCCCGCUGCAGAUAGAGAUGCAAGUGCUGGAAUCGCAGCUACUUUAUGGGCAUGUCUCUAUCUGCGACUUGUUCCCAGCUUGCCGGGCAGCUAUGCGUCUCAUAACUCUGGCCACUUAAGUUGUGGCGCAGCCUCGGCCGGUGGGGGAUCGCAAAUCAUCGCGGGCACCGCGGAGGGGUUUGGAGCGGCGGUAGGGCCUCCUCUCAGCGAAUUUGCCUGUCGUCGUCCUGUCUAAUGGACCGCUCCUGUUAUGUAAGCUACAGACCGACAACGCACAUUUCACUUGGACAUAUCAGUCCUAUAUGGAGCCGCAGAUAUAGAUCCUUAGAUGGAUUGAACAACAGACAAAUAGUGCGAGUAAUUGGCUUUACUGAAGCCCAGCUGAAAUUACACUUUUCAUUGAAAAAAACAUUCUAAUUUUACGAGUUCCACUGAUCUAAUCUUACAAUCCCUAUCACUUUCCCGCCGACUUUGUGGAAUACGUAUUCUAACCAGUUUAUACACUGAGGAGGCCAAAGCUGCUUGCACAUGGUAAUCCAUCACUUGAGCCGACACUAUCGACGCUAAAUCUCACGAGCCCGAUGCGAUUAAGUAUCUGGGCACAACAAACUGAUAGUUAUGAACUCCAAGAGCCGGGCGAGACGGAGGAAAAUGGGGUACCGUUAGCCACGACUUGAGCCAGGCUAAUUGCAAAGUCUGCCAGUGUGGCAUAUGUGUGGUAAAAGUAAACCAGUUUGCCGCGUUCAGCUAGCUGCCCGCUUAAAGUCAACAAGCGUAAUCUUCACUGCACGUGGGGCAGAGCGGCCACUGAGGAGGCCAAUUCCGAAAAUCCGCUAGAACAAAGAGGCCGCCAGAGGAAACGGAGGCUUAUGAGCGGGAAAUACAAUUGAGCGCUCGAGCAACGAUGCAUGCCAGUUAGGAGGAUGUGGUCACGGAUUAGAAGCCCUAAGCUUAAAGCGAACUCGGCAACAUUUUACCUGGCCAUAUCGCUUCGUUCGCUAAUCGAUAUUGGAACGUGCUGUUUUACAUCAGCUAAUUUGCGUCCCGUCUCAUACACUAAUGAAUGAAUAUAGCCAUCAAGCUGCAGGAUCGUAAAAUAAAUUUGCUAAUUAAUUAUGAAACCGCGGGCAUUUUAUGGCCAGGCCAUUAAAUUCCGUUGUUUUGCAGGCUAACGUGGAAAGCGACGAGUCCGCUGGCCGUCAACUGUGUGCCAUCAAGCAGGCCAUUCCAGGUGUGAAAAAUUCAUAACUUUUGAGGUCAGCCCGUUCCCGCUUCCCACUGAUCACGGUGUAUCCCAACCACAGGCGGCCGCACCUUAAUAUCCACAGAGACCCCUCAAUGGUCUUUGAAGAAAUGUUUUCCAAUUAGGCGACCCAACCUCGAGUGUCGCUAAUUUGUCUUGACUGCCUGUAAUUACAGAUGUGAGAUACGCCCGCGCAGAGAUGCAGAUUCUUAUCUCGAUUGGUUGGCGCCAUACCUUUUUGCUUGAACUGAUCGGGGGAGGCCAGAGGAAGUCCAAUAUUACGGUGCACUCGACGUUCAGAGCGGACAAACAGACAAACGGCAUUUUAAUUGGAGCUGACAUUUGUGUGUGUGAAUAUCCAGCUUCUGCUAAAAUUUUGAACGACCCAUGCAAAUGUCAACAGCAGACGCUUAGAAAUGUGGCACACCACACACAAUACAAAUUCCCCACUCUGAAGUGGUUGACCAUUCAGGCUGAGCUGUGCGGAAUUUCGGGGGGCAGUUGAGGACUCGAGAAUCCCAUAGUGGGAGCUUAGAAGUCCACAUUCUGAUUUCAACCACAGCCCAACCACGAACUCAAUCAGCUCGUAUAAAGUGCCUUCCAUAAAUCAAUAACACACAAUUGCAGUGACCCAGUCCAUUAGCCAGAAUCAAACAGCCCACUACAAUAGGGCUAACUGGCAACCCUGGCAACUACCAGGAAAAAACUUGGCAGGACCCUUCUAAAGCUGGCUAGUUUUCGGUGGCCAGCCAUAUGGAAAAUUCGUAUGGUCAGCGCAACUCCAUUCCAGGGAAGGAAGUCAAGGAGCGGACUUUUACGGUAGCAAUUUUGGCGGAAGUAUACAACCUGUUUUUAAUUUGCGGCGAAAGCGUGGUCGGCAGCAAGUACACCAUGUCAAGUGCCAGGACAGGAGCCCAAACAUGAGACAUUUGCUGACAUGACAUGGCGCCAACACAAGCCAGCCGGGGACACUCCACUCAAACUGCGUAGUGCCAGGCAUUGGAGCCCGUCUAUUGAUUUUCCAUUGUUGUAUGGACAUUUUCGUCCUUGUUGUGCCGUCACUGGCAUUUGUUGUCAAGCACUUAUCGCUAAUACCCAGCAAAGGUUUUUAGCAAUGCUAUCUUGGUUGUGAGGGGACUCGUCUCGUAAGGCGUGCACUCAGGAUAUUCUGGAGGAGCUUCACUUUGACCUCGUGUCAGCAGCUGCCGCAGCUGGAAUCGAAUAAGGUGGCUCACCUUGGCCGAGGCUACAACUGAAAUAGUCUACUGUUGUUGGGCGAACUUGCAAUUCAGCAUGGAUGGCGGGGAGGCCCACGAUAUCGUAUGACGGAAAAAGGGCACAUCGCAAUCCCUGCCUUAGGCUCACAAUGUUGGAUUUGACUGCAAACAGCUGUGCCCGCAGUUUUUCGGGCGUGAUGGAGUCUGCUGUGCGCUUUUGUGUAUCUUAAAUUUAGCGUUAACUUGCAGGUUCUCGGCUGCUUUUUACUUUGCGCCUUCCUGGCAGGAUUCACCCUCGAAGGAAAGUGAAAAGUUCCGCAUCCGAAAUACGUCUUUUCACAGCGCCGCACACAAAGCGGCUUCGUCGCCGAUGCUGGAAGUAAUAGCGGCGGAGGGAGACAGGUUGAAUGGGCCAUAGAGUGGUGGGAACAAGGACUUUACUUCUGUGGUCUGGAAUUUCUAACAAAGGUUCUUCAAAGGUUGAUUGAAAACUUAAGGAAUAGGAAUAGGUUAUGCCUUAGCCUCCCAAAGAGUUAGAUUACUCUAAAGCAAAGUUAUUUGCGCUUUAAACCAACCCGUUAGCCCUCCAGAGUAACAACAAACAAACGGUUUCAAAGGCACGCAAUCCACUUUAGAAGAGGACUUGGCUCUAGAAGGUGUGAGAGUGUCGAGUAUGCCAACGGCCAGAAUGCAAGUCAUGUGACUUUUCCCCGGUCCGAUGCGAGUCUGAGGGGUGACAAGUAUGUGGGCAGGAAGCCAAGGAGCGGGUCAGGAACCAAGCCGCCCUCGAAACGCGGCCAAUAAGUCCAACGACAAUGUGGGCAAUUUCGAAAUUUAUCACAACAAAGAGCCAAAGGGUCCUGGCGAAGGGCAUGCACUGCAAACGAGUCCUUUACGGGGUGGUUUUCACAUUAUCAACGCCGCAGGAUGCACGUGGGAUAAGCGUGGAGAAUGCCCGGUUCGGUGUUGAGAAAUACCGGCCCAAAUAACCAUUUGUGUGGGGAAAUUAAUUUUUACUUUAUGUGUCUCGCUUUGUUUGCUUUGUUUGUUUACAGAAACGUGAAAUAAUUGGCGGUGGGCGCCGCUCGCCGGCCGUUUCAAGACCAUAUCCAGGAUAUGGAACGGAGCACGUGCGGUUUACGAAUUUCGCAGAAAAUAAUGCUUGCGGCACUUUAUUGUAACCGGAAAAUGUAUAGAACUCUAACGCCAAUAUUGGCAGUCGUUUUCCAGCCGUUAAUCACGCUAUAUAGCCCAAUGCCGGAAAUGCAGAUAAAAUUCCUAUGGAGCAGCCCAAUCGGUGGUUGCUACAACGAUAGCGCAAAAGAAAGAAGCCUCGAAUUUUGCAUAAGGGAAUUGCAUACUUAAUUUUUCAGCCACCACUGUGGGCCAAAGAACUCUGCUCAAUCCGAGGGUCUAUCUCACUCAAAGUUUGACUCACGAGCACCAAACAGCACAACAAAUGCGGAAUAGAGACAGAAAUAGCGAAAUAAUAAAAUAACAAAAUAAGCGAAUGCCACUUCCAACCCCCCGGCUGCCAGUCUGCAGGAUGUACUGCCCGAAAAA